AUAACAAUUAAUAUAUCAUCGCUUUUUCCUAAACCCUAAACCCUAAACCCUAGGGUUUUCUUUUAUUUUGUA
rnacentral:sRNA from 1 species